GGCCUAACACAUGCAAGUCGAGCGGAAACGACACUAACAAUCCUUCGGGUGCGUUAAUGGGCGUCGAGCGGCGGACGGGUGAGUAAUGCCUAGGAAAUUGCCUUGAUGUGGGGGAUAACCAUUGGAAACGAUGGCUAAUACCGCAUAAUGCCUACGGGCCAAAGAGGGGGACCUUCGGGCCUCUCGCGUCAAGAUAUGCCUAGGUGGGAUUAGCUAGUUGGUGAGGUAAUGGCUCACCAAGGCGACGAUCCCUAGCUGGUCUGAGAGGAUGAUCAGCCACACUGGAACUGAGACACGGUCCAGACUCCUACGGGAGGCAGCAGUGGGGAAUAUUGCACAAUGGGCGAAAGCCUGAUGCAGCCAUGCCGCGUGUAUGAAGAAGGCCUUCGGGUUGUAAAGUACUUUCAGUUGUGAGGAAGGGGGUAGCGUUAAUAGCGCUAUCUCUUGACGUUAGCAACAGAAGAAGCACCGGCUAACUCCGUGCCAGCAGCCGCGGUAAUACGGAGGGUGCGAGCGUUAAUCGGAAUUACUGGGCGUAAAGCGCAUGCAGGUGGUUCAUUAAGUCAGAUGUGAAAGCCCGGGGCUCAACCUCGGAACUGCAUUUGAAACUGGUGAACUAGAGUACUGUAGAGGGGGGGUAGAAUUUUCAGGUGUAGCGGUGAAAUGCGUAGAGAUCUGAAGGAAUACCAGUGGCGAAGGCCGGCCCCCUGGACAGAUACUGACACU
rnacentral:rRNA from 1 species